rnacentral:rRNA from 1 species
AGCGAACGCUGGCGGCAGGCCUAAUACAUGCAAGUCGAACGGCUCUUCGGAGCAGUGGCGGACGGGUGAGUAACGCGUGGGAAUGUGCCCUUUGGUACGGAACAACACAGGGAAACUUGUGCUAAUACCGGAUGAGCCCUUAGGGGGAAAGAUUUAUCGCCGAAAGAGCGGCCCGCGUUAGAUUAGCUAGUUGGUGAGGUAAAGGCUCACCAAGGCUACGAUCUAUAGCUGGUCUGAGAGGAUGAUCAGCCACACUGGGACUGAGACACGGCCCAGACUCCUACGGGAGGCAGCAGUGGGGAAUCUUGCGCAAUGGGCGAAAGCCUGACGCAGCCAUGCCGCGUGAAUGAUGAAGGUCUUAGGAUUGUAAAAUUCUUUUACCAGGGACGAUAAUGACGGUACCUGGAGAAAAAGCCCCGGCUAACUUCGUGCCAGCCGCCGCCGUAACAC